rnacentral:rRNA from 1 species
CCCGCUCAGAAACUCAAAGGAAUUGAGGGGCCCGCACAAGCGGUGGAGCAUGUGGUUAAUUCGAUGAUACGCGAGGAACCUUACCUGGGCUCAAAUGUAUGUUGACGUAUUCUGAAAGGGAUACUUCUUCGGACAAUAUACAAGGUGCUGCAUGGUUGUCGUCAGCUCGUGCCGUGAGGUGUCGGGUUAAGUCCCAUAACGAGCGCAACCCUAUCAUUAGUUGCCAUCAGGUCAAGCUGGGGACUCUAAUGAAACUGCCUACGCAAGUAGUGAGGAAGGUGGGGAUGACGUCAAAUCAGCACGGCCCUUACGUCCAGGGCUACACACGUGCUACAAUGGCCGGUACAAAGGGCAGCUACCUGGUGACAGGAUGCUAAUCUCAAAAGCCGGUCUCAGUUCGGAUCGGAGUCUGCAACCCGACUCCAUGAAGUUGGAAUCGCUAGUAAUCGUGGAUCAGCAUGCCACGGUGAAUACGUUCCCGGGCCUU